UUGUGCCRGCCGCCGCGGUAAUUCCAGCUCCAAUAGCAUAUAUUAAAGUUGUUGCGGUUAAAACGCCCGUAGUUGGAUCAGCGGAUUUGGAGAACGGUCUGCCGAUGGGCUGUACUGUUCUCCUGUCCUAUUUUCUCUAGUUCGCUCUAGGUGCUCUUCACUGAGUGUCUAGAGUGGCUGGAACUUUUACUUUGAAAAAAUUAGAGUGCUCAAAGCAGGCGUCUCAGCUUGAAUAGUGGUGCAUGGAAUAAUGGAAUAGGACCUCAGUUCUAUUUUGUUGGUUUUCGGAGCAUGAGGUAAUGAUUAAGAGGGACAGACGGGGGCAUUCGUAUUGAGACGUUAGAGGUGAGAUUCUUGGAUCGUCGCAAGACGAACUACUGCGAAAGCAUUUGCCAAGAAUGUUUUCAUUAAUCAAGGACGAUAGUUAGAGGUUCAAAGGCGAUCAGAUACCGCCCUAGUUCUAACCGUAAACGAUGUCAACCAGCGAUCCGCAGGAGUUAUUCAUGACUCUGCGGGCAGCUUCCGGAAACCAAAGUUUUUGGAUUCCGGGGGGAGUAUGGUUGCAAAGCUGAAACUCAAAGAAUUGA
rnacentral:rRNA from 1 species